AGAUCCCGAGUUGCUGUGGCUGUGGCGUAGACCAGCAGCUGCGGCUCUGGUUUGACCCCUAGCCUGGGAACUUGCAUAUGCUGGCGUGCAGUGCUUAAAACAAAAAAUAAAUAAAAAGACAAUGAAGGGAAAAUAUUGGUGGGAAGGAAGCUUGGCUAUAGGGUGAAGGUAGUAGUGGGUACAUGAACGGAAUGACCAAGUUUGGACUCUUCAAACUUGUUGGGUGCCACCAAUGAAAGCAGUAUUAAUCCUUGCUAAAAGACCCACCUAAAAGAUCACACUUUUGAUGAGCAGUGGUGGCUAAUUACAAAUCUUUGAAGGUCAAAUGCUAUUUAAUCAUAUUUCUCAUUAUACUUUUUUUGGUUUUGCUAACAGCAUAACAGAGCAUAUUUUCUAGCAUAAUAAAUCACUGAGUGAAGGAAGUUUUGAAAGAGAAAACUCUAACAAUAGUAGGAAAAAAGCAAAGCAAUCAAAAAAGAGGGCAAGGAACACUACAUCUAAAGCUAUACCAAGAAUUGACAGGAGCUGGGGUACAGUAUGAAUUGGGUAUCUGAACCCAUGCUACAAAGAAAAUACUCGGGGCAAUAGUGAUUAGCAUUGUAAAGAGUAUAUAAAAGUAUGUAAUACAUAGGUUGCCUAAAUUUAUGUGGAAAUGAAGAUCAUUCUCUACAAAGUGUUCUCAGCUAUAGGUAAAAUUAGGAGAAGUGUCCAGUCAUUAAGCAAUUCUUAAAAGGCAAAGAAAUAUUUUGUGUGCCCCAUCCUGUAAUCGCCUUUCCUUCUCCUUUCUUCAGGAGCUCAAUCUGAGAGAAGAAACCCUGAAAGAGAACCAUACACUUGACUGUGGGUUGUUCAGGCAUUGUGCUGAGAGCUGUGAAGUGCUGAAAUGUGGCUCCCUCUUACAGGCAGAGAGCUUCAGCAUGGUCCAGUCCCAGACACUUUCCUAUCUCCAUAUAUUUUUAGCUAAGAGUGGGUUGAAUCUUUCCAAUUCAUCAGCUAAAAAGAACUGCCUUUAAAAAGUUCUCACAGGAGUUCUCAUCGUGGCGCAGCAGAAACGAAUAUGACUAGGAACCAUGAGGCUGUGGGUUUGACCCCUGGUCUCGCUCAGUGGGUUAAGGAUCCAGGGUUGCUGUGGCUAUGGUGUAGGCCAGCAGCUGUAGCUCCAGUUAGACCCCUAGCCUGGGAACCUCCAUAUGUCUUGGGUGCAGCCCUAAAAAGCAAAAUAAAAUAAAAAGUUCUCACAAAGGCAAAAAAGUGGCCCUGGGUACCAGAGAUAUUGCCAUCACACAUGUCACCUAUUCUCAGUUCUCCUUUCUUUCAUCCUUUUCUACCUGCCCCUACCUCUAGGUAGGUCUAUGCUCUAAGCCUACACAAGUGGCUCUGGCUGGCAGCACUAAGAGCUGGAGUUUGCUGUCCCCAAUUAAUGACAACAGCAAGAUAUAUGUAGCUAUAUAUAGCUCGCUACUAUGUGCCAGACACUUCACUAAGUGUAUUCCAAAAAUGAUCUUAUUUAAUCUUCAUAACAACCUUAUGACAUAGGAGGUAUUUUAUCUCCAUUCUACAUAUGGCCCUAAAAGGUUAAGUCAUCUGCCCAAGGUCAUACAGCCAACAAAUUUCAAAGUACAGAUUUCAAACCUACGUUUCCAUCUUAUCCCAGAGAUUAAUAAUGUUCUUUAAACCAUAUCGUCCGUGCUCAGAAAUCACACAGACCUGAAUUUCAGCCCUAAUACUACCACUUAGCACUUGGGCUAUCUGGUAAAUUAGUCAAUCUGAGUUUCCUCGAGUAUGACACGGAAUAGCAAUACCACUUAAGUUGGUAGUUGUGAGCACUAAAUGAGCUAACAUAUAAAAAAUGUCUAGCAGUGUUUGCAAUACUCGCUACACUCAUUCCUGCCUGUCCUUCUAUUUGAUUAUCAGCUAUAGAGGUAGCCACGAAAAGACAACACUAAGGAAGGAUUAGGAAAAAUUGUGGACCAUCAUCAAGUGCAACGUCCGCGGUGGGUUUACUCGGUGUCCCAGAGAUAAGUUCCGGCAACGCAAAACUGAUGUAACCGCACUUCCUUCACUCGGCUGGCUGCAGUGAGCGCAAAACACUAGACGGAAGAAUUUCGAAGCUGGAGCCAGAAUCGGAGCCCCUAAGAUACACCAUCUCCCAACCCCCUGCUUUACACCAAAAUCGAGUUACCUUUGCCCACCCCACCUACCUAGCAGCUUUCCCUGGAACCAUUGGCUACUCUGAAGCGCGCCCCUUUUCUCUCCGCAGUCGCUCGGCGCAGAGCUGGGCGUGCGCCAGUCCCUCUCAGGGAUAGACGCAGCAGCGAUUGCGGGGCGGGUCACCCUCCCCUGGGCUGUAGGCCCGAAACCCCACCGGGGGAGGCUGGAGGAUCCCAGGCACCGCCCACCCAGGGAUCCGGGAAGUUGUAGGAACCCUGACUCAUCGGACCCGAAGCAGAGAGAAGUCUGCACUCACUUUUCGGUCUCAGGAGUGGAAGUCGCACCAGAGUGGAGACCAGGAGGCAGAGUCGAGGAGUCUCCCAGCCAGCCGGGUAUUCACAGAACCCUGGGCGGAUCCGGCGGAGGGGCGAGGCGGGGCGAGGCUAAGGCCGCCCCGCCCAUCCCGGCCGCGGCCUGCCCGGAGCCCUGAGGCACUGAUGUGUUCCCUACCUGUUGAUUCUUCAAGGUUAUUUUAGGAGAAAUAGCUUGCUUAUCCAAAACCCCCAAGAUGACUCCAGGCGUUUAAAUAAAUUAUUUGGUGCACCAAAA